UUGGGAAUCUUGGACAAUGGGGGAAACCCUGAUCCAGCCAUGCCGCGUGAGUGAUGAAGGCCUUCGGGUUGUAAAACUCUUUCGACGGGGACGAUAAUGACGGUACCCGUAGAAGAAGCUCCGGCUAACUUCGUGCCAGCAGCCGCGGUAAUACGAAGGGGGCUAGCGUUGUUCGGAAUUACUGGGCGUAAAGCGCGCGCAGGCGGUUUUCCAAGUCAGUGGUGAAAGCCCGGAGCUCAACUCCGGAACUGCCAUUGAAACUGGCGAACUUGAGUACGAGAGAGGUGAGUGGAAUUCCUAGUGUAGAGGUGAAAUUCGUAGAUAUUGGGAAGAACACCGGUGGCGAAGGCGGCUCACUGGCUCGUAACUGACGCUCAGGCGCGACAGCGUGGGGAUCAAAC
rnacentral:rRNA from 1 species